CACGUAGGCACCAAGCGUUGUCCGGAUUUAUUGGGCGUAAAGGGCGCGUAGGCGGCCUGUUAAGUCGAACGUGAAAUCCCUGGGCUCAACCCAGGAACUGCGUCCGAUACUGGCAGGCUUGAAUCCGGGAGAGGGAUGUGGAAUUCCAGGUGUAGCGGUGAAAUGCGUAGAUAUCAGGAAGAACACCGGUGGCGAAGGCGGCUCUCUGGGCCUUACCUGACGCUGAGGAGCGAAAGCGUGGGUAGCGAACAGG
rnacentral:rRNA from 1 species